rnacentral:rRNA from 1 species
GUGGGGAAUUUUGGACAAUGGGCGCAAGCCUGAUCCAGCCAUGCCGCGUGCAGGAUGAAGGCCUUCGGGUUGUAAACUGCUUUUGUACGGAACGAAAAGACUUCUUCUAAUACAGGAGGUCCAUGACGGUACCGUAAGAAUAAGCACCGGCUAACUACGUGCCAGCAGCCGCGGUAAUACGUAGGGUGCAAGCGUUAAUCGGAAUUACUGGGCGUAAAGCGUGCGCAGGCGGUUAUAUAAGACAGAUGUGAAAUCCCCGGGCUCAACCUGGGAACUGCAUUUGUGACUGUAUAGCUAGAGUACGGUAGAGGGGGAUGGAAUUCCGCGUGUAGCAGUGAAAUGCGUAGAUAUGCGGAGGAACACCGAUGGCGAAGGCAAUCCCCUGGACCUGUACUGACGCUCAUGCACGAAAGCGUGGGGAGCAAACAGGAUUAGAUACCCGGUAGUCC